UUUCUUUCUUCUUUUCUCUAUACGUUGGUGUUCUAACCAAUAAUCACCGAUGCGAUGCUCUGUCCCAUCGAUUCAGGAACCAACUAACGGAUGCCAAAGUGCUAUACUUUGAGAGUUCGUUAAACGGAUGCCAAAGUAUUAUACUUUGAGAGUUCGUUAAACGGAUGCCAAAGUAUUAUACUUUGAGAGUUCGUUAAACGGAUGCCAAAGUACUAUACUUUGUGAUUUCAGUAAACGGAAUCCAAAGUGUUAUACUUUGUGAAAUUCGUUAAGGUUCGAAUCUCGUGACUACCGUUAAGGUUUGAUUUGGGUUUUACACAAAUACGUAUUCCAUUCUGUUAAACUAUAUGUUUAACUACCAAAAAUACUCCCAACUACACACUCACAAUCAAACAAACUAUUAAAUCAUCAGAAGAUCCAGAAUAAUAAAGUGCAUGCUUAAUUAUCGGAAGAAGUAGAAUCAAGAAGCUUGUUAACUCAAUCUUGCAUGCUUAUAAAGGAUUAA
rnacentral:lncRNA from 1 species